rnacentral:rRNA from 1 species
UACAGAGGGGGCAAGCGUUGUUCGGAAUUACUGGGCGUAAAGGGCGCGUAGGCGGCCUUCUAAGUCGAACGUGAAAUCCCCGGGCUCAACCCGGGAACUGCGUCCGAGACUGAAAGGCUUGAAUCCGGGAGAGGGAUGUGGAAUUCCAGGUGUAGCGGUGAAAUGCGUAGAUAUCUGGAGGAACAUCGGUGGCGAAGGCGGCAUCCUGGACCGGUAUUGACGCUGAGGCGCGAAAGCCAGGGGAGCAAACAGG